AAGGAGCUGUGGACUGCAUGGAAGAGAGAAUGCCGGAAUGAGUAGCGAGAUAGAGGUGAGAAUCCUCUAGGCCGAAUAUCCAAGGUUUCCAGGGUAAAGCUGAUCUGCCCUGGGUAAGUCGGGGCCUAAGGUGAGGACGAGAGUCGUAGCCGAUGGACAACAGGUGGAGAUUCCUGUACUAUGAUAUGACAGAACUGUGGGGACACGUGCAGAGAGCGGAAGCCGGGAAUGGAAUCCCGGUGCAAGCGAGGUACCAGUCGCAUUGGAAAAACCGUGCGGCAAUGGGAAGACGUGAUGCGGAGUGAAAUAUAGUAACGAAGUCCGUGAGCUGUGCGUCAAGAAAAGCCGCUAUUGUUCAUACCAUACCCGUACCGUAAACCGACACAGGUGGAUGAGGAGAGAAUCCUAAGGCCGGCGGAAGAAGCAUUGUCAAGGAACUCGGCAAAAUGACCCCGUAACUUCGGGAGAAGGGGUGCCACUGAGAAGUGGCCGCAGAGAAUAGGCUCAAGCAACUGUUUAGCAAAAACACAGGUCUAUGCGAAACCGUAAGGUGAGGUAUAUGGGCUGACGCCUGCCCGGUGCUGGAAGGUUAAGAGGAGAGGUUAGCGCAAGCGAAGCUUUGAAUUUAAGCCCCAGUAAACGGCGGCCGUAACUAUAACGGUCCUAAGGUAGCGAAAUUCCUUGUCGGGUAAGUUCCGACCCGCACGAAAGGCGUAAUGAUUUGAGCGCUGUCUCGACAAUGCAUCCGGUGAAAUUGAAGUACCAGUGAAGAUGCUGGUUACCUGCGCCAGGACGGAAAGACCCCAUGGAGCUUUACUCCAGUUUGGUACUGGGAUCCGGUACUGCAUGUACAGGAUAGGUGGGAGGCUAUGAAAUGGUAACGCCAGUUGCCAUGGAGCCGCUGUUGGGAUACCACCCUUGCAGUAUUGGGUUUCUAACCAGCCGCCGUGAUCCGGCGGUGGGACAAUGCCAGACGGGGAGUUUGACUGGGGCGGUCGCCUCCGAAAGGGUAUCGGAGGCGCCCAAAGGUUCCCUCAGGAUGGACGGAAACCAUCCAAAGAGUGCAAAGGCAGAAGGGAGCUUGACUGCGACACCGACGGGUGGAGCAGGUACGAAAGUAGGGCUUAGUGAUCCGGUGGUAUUAAGUGGGAAUGCCAUCGCUCAACGGAUAAAAGCUACCCUGGGGAUAACAGGCUUAUCACUCCCAAGAGUUCACAUCGACGGAGUGGUUUGGCACCUCGAUGUCGGCUCAUCGCAUCCUGGGGCUGUAGUAGGUCCCAAGGGUUGGGCUGUUCGCCCAUU
rnacentral:rRNA from 1 species